rnacentral:siRNA from 1 species
UGAGCUAUGAUGAUAUAGGCU